rnacentral:rRNA from 1 species
UACGUAGGUGGCGAGCGUUGUCCGGAUUUAUUGGGCGUAAAGGGUGCGUAGGUGGCUUGUUAAGUCAGGGGUGAAAGUUUUCGGCCCAACCGGAAAAUGGCCUUUGAUACUGGCGAGCUCGAGUGCGUGAGGGGUAACCGGAACGAGCAGUGUAGCGGUGAAAUGCGUAGAUAUUGCUCGGAAGGCCAACGGCGAAGGCAGGUUACUGGUGCGCAACUGACACUGAGGCACGAAAGCGUGGGGAGCAAACAGG